rnacentral:rRNA from 1 species
GACGAACGCUGGCGGCGUGCUUAACACAUGCAAGUCGAACGGAAAGGCCCUGCUUUUGUGGGGUGCUCGAGUGGCGAACGGGUGAGUAACACGUGAGUAACCUGCCCUUGACUUUGGGAUAACUUCAGGAAACUGGGGCUAAUACCGGAUAGGAGCUCCUGCUGCAUGGUGGGGGUUGGAAAGUUUCGGCGGUUGGGGAUGGACUCGCGGCUUAUCAGCUUGUUGGUGGGGUAGUGGCUUACCAAGGCUUUGACGGGUAGCCGGCCUGAGAGGGUGACCGGCCACAUUGGGACUGAGAUACGGCGCAGAAUCCUACGGGAGGCAGCAGUGGGGAAUAUUGCACAAUGGGCGGAAGCCUGAUGCAGCAACGCCGCGUGCGGGAUGACGGCCUUCGGGUUGUAAACCGCUUUCGCAUGUGACGAAGCGUGAGUGACGGUAAUGGGUAAAGAAGCACCGGCUAACUACGUG